UACGGAGGGUGCAAGCGUUAUCCGGAUUCACUGGGUUUAAAGGGUGAGUAGGUGGGCAGGUAAGUCAGUGGUGAAAUCUCCGGGCUUAACCCGGAAACUGCCGUUGAUACUAUCUGUCUUGAAUAUCGUGGAGGUGAGCGGAAUAUGUCAUGUAGCGGUGAAAUGCUUAGAUAUGACAUAGAACAUCAAUUGCGAAGGCAGCUCGCUACACGGUUAUUGACACUGAGGCACGAAAGCGUGGGGAUCAAACAGG
rnacentral:rRNA from 1 species